rnacentral:lncRNA from 1 species
CCGAACCCAACACCCGGGUCGGAUACGUGAUGGCCGCACACUCCUUAGAGCAAGCCCUAAAGAAUAUGCAAGGCCAAAUUAAAUCAUUACAAUCUCAUCAACCAUAAUAUUUAAUUUCAAUAAUAAUUCAUAAAAUCUUGCAUAAUUACAAUUUAAAUUUCUUCAAUUUUCUGAUCAGAUACUAUGACACUCUAUUUAUCCUUCUGCUCACCCAUAAAUCCAAGCCAUAGCCAACCAUGGACAUCUUGUAACUCUGAGAAGAAAAGAAAGAUAAAGGGGUGUGAGCUUUAC